CCAGCCUAGAUCUCCCUGUCGCUCGCCGCCGACCUCGACCGCCAGCCUAGAUCCGAGCCGCGAUCAGCCCAGAUCCAACUUCGACCUCUUCGCGUCUCAGUUGUUCGUGCCGCCCAGAUCCAACUCCGGCCUCCCACGCCAAUGCCGCCCGCGUCCGAGCCAUGAGUCCUUCCGCCGCUCGACUCGUCGCGCCACUGCCUGCACCAGCUGCGACCCCGAGCGUUCUCCCUUUUCUCUUCAGCUCGUCCCCGACCGAAGCCUCCACCAGCCAGCCACGUCUGUUCGACGCCGCCCAGCCUCCGUCGCCGUCGUGGUUGCCGUCAAAUUUGUUUUGGUCGAGUUUUGGAGAAGCUUGAAAGUCAAAGGGGCGUCGUCAAGGAAGGUGGAAGUGGUUUUCGCUAUAGGGUAAAGGUAGAGAUGCACCGACGAUGGACAAGCGGAAUUCGUGAUCGAGCCACUAGGACCAGUUUUAUGUUUCCGCUCAUGAGACUUAGAUUUCCUUGCAUGUUUUAUUUAACUUUCAGUUUUGAUAUUUGAAACCUAGUAUUAAAAAUUGUUUUCAGACUUAUUUAUUAACAUUUAUGAUUUAUAGGUACCUAUUAUUGUUUUUAAUAUUUGCAUUUAAUAAAGGAAUUUCGAACUUACCUUAUUUAUUUAACGUUUAUUUCACCAUAAAAAGGUGUCGUCUUAAGUUCCAUACAUGCAUGUAUUUAGUAAUAAUUUAACUUAAGUCCUAGGAGGUCGAGUCGUUAUAAGAACCCAAAUAUCAGCAAUCCGUCGCUCAGUCAACUACUGAACCAAAUAACCACGAUCAAGCUUGAUAGGGAAAAUUUUCUCAUACUCCCUAUAUUUCGAGGCUAUAGAAUUGAAGACUAUCUUCUUGGAACGAAGGAAUGCGCUCCAAUGUUCAUCAAUCGCAACUCGACUAUUGCAAGUGAAGGAUCAGCUGCAGCGGAGCUUCAAGCUCGCAAACAGAGGUGAUUGGUGCCCACAAGUGAAGAGGAAGACAAAGUGUUCAAUCCAACAUAUGACCACUGUCAGACAAAGUGUCCAAUCCAACGUAUGACCACUGUCAGACAAAGUGUUCAAUCCAACGUAUGACCACUGUCAAACCGUUAUAGUUCUGAUCCAUCACUGCUCAGCCGCAGCGCUAAUGUCCUCGCGAGGAAUCAAGUAUUUCCAUUGAUUUGUUUUCUUUCUACCUUACACAUGACUCAAGCCUCCUCGAUCUAAUUGCUCAUAUCUUAUAAAAUCGAGUCAUUACAGUUUGUAUCCGAAUC